CUGAGCUGAGGAUGGUGACAAGUUAUCCCUGUCUGAAAUGACAUCUUCUGUGAAGAGUUUUGAUUUACUGAGGCUCAG